UGGGGAAUAUUGCACAAUGGGCGCAAGCCUGAUGCAGCCAUGCCGCGUGUAUGAAGAAGGCCUUCGGGUUGUAAAGUACUUUCAGCGAGGAGGAAGGCGUUGUGGUUAAUAACCGCAGCGAUUGACGUUACUCGCAGAAGAAGCACCGGCUAACUCCGUGCCAGCAGCCGCGGUAAUACGGAGGGUGCAAGCGUUAAUCGGAAUUACUGGGCGUAAAGCGCACGCAGGCGGUCUGUCAAGUCGGAUGUGAAAUCCCCGGGCUCAACCUGGGAACUGCAUCCGAAACUGGCAGGAUAGAGUCUUGUAGAGGGGGGUAGAAUUCCAGGUGUAGCGGUGAAAUGCGUAGAGAUCUGGAGGAAUACCGGUGGCGAAGGCGGCCCCCUGGACAAAGACUGACGCUCAGGUGCGAAAGCGUGGGGAGCAAACA
rnacentral:rRNA from 1 species